CGACCGACCCUUACGGAUGGGGGAUAGCCAGCCCAACGGCUGGGUAAUACCGCAUACGCUUCUUCUGGGGCAUCCUGGGGGAAGGAAAGCGCUCGAGGCAACUCGAGGGCGUCCGAGGACGGGCUCGCGGCCUAUCAGCUAGUUGGUGGGGUGAUGGCUCACCAAGGCGACGACGGGUAGCUGGUCUGAGAGGAUGGCCAGCCACAUUGGGACUGAGAAACGGCCCAG
rnacentral:rRNA from 1 species